rnacentral:lncRNA from 10 species
GCAAACAGCAAUAAUUUGACUUUCUCUUUUCAAUUUGGAUGCCCUUUAUUUCUUUCUCUUGCUUAAUUUCUCUGGCCAGGACGUCCAGAACUAAGUUGAAUAGGAGUGGUGAAAGUGGGCACCUUUGUCUUUUUUCUGUUCUCAGGGGAAAUGCUUUCAACUUUUCCCCAUUCAGUAUGAUAUUGGCUAUGGGUUUGUCAUAUACGGUUUUUAUUAAUUUGAGGUGUCCUCAAUAGACGGAUUGUUCUGAAAGUAACUAGUCAUUUCUACCAAAGACCAAUAAAGUGAAACUACACAGAAGUUGCAGACAAAUCUGGACUGCAA